UACGUAGGCAGCGAGCGUUGUUCGGAAUUACUGGGCGUAAGGAGUGUGUAGGCGGUGCUCUAAGUUCGGUGUGAAAUCUCCCGGCUUAACUGGGAGGGUGCGCCGGAAACUGGAGUGCUCGAGCGUGGGAGAGGAAAGCGGAAUUCCUGGUGUAGCGGUGAAAUGCGUAGAUAUCAGGAGGAACACCUGCAGUGUAGACGGCUUUCUGGACCAUUGCUGACGCUGAGACACGAAAGCGUGGGUAGCAAACAGG
rnacentral:rRNA from 1 species